CAUCGUGUCCCCUGCCUCCUGUUACCAUCCGGCCUAGAUGCACAGUUUGGAACCCCCUACCCGAGAUCCGUCGGUUUUGACACCGACAGUGGGUGAGGCGGUAGGAUGCAGCAACUCGCCGAUUGCUUGGUCGCCACCGAUGCCAAGCAACAAGAGCGGGUUAGUUCGACUCGGUGUCUUUCUUUUUUUAUCCUCCCUCCCAUGGAAUUUGCCUGGAUCUUGGCGAGCUCCUCAACCACCUAAUUUCUUCUUGUUUCAAGUGUGCACACCUCUAGCUUGACUUGUGGCGGUGGCUGGUAUUACUGGAGCGGAGGCACCUUUCGUUUUUCGUCCUCUUUGUUGGUGGGAAGGGGCAGCAGGUCGGAGGAGGAAGCCACACAAUCUUGGCAGGAGAGGAGAUGGGGAAGGGUGACAAGCUAUGUGGAAUGACUCAGCGCUGGUGGACGCCUUGGACCAUGCUGUCACCACCUAAAAGUAGGGUCUGCUAUAGAUGUUGAAAUCAAAGGCGUGGCCUCUAUUUGAUCAGUAGGGUUUGCUAUAAAACUGAGAAGAAGAUAAGGAGGAGUAUGGGUCUGCACGUACCUAUAAGAAGAAGAUGUCCUCAGAUUUGAGGAUUCUUGAGAUGAGAUAGAUUGCAGUACAUCCUAUCACCUCAUGGAGAAAAGGAGCCUAGAGAAGAACAUUCAACUUGAGCUGGAACGUGAGGUAUAUCCUUUUCAGUUUAAACAUUUCUUUUUGUUUGUCCCUUUAAUGAUAGUUCAAUUGUGAGAAGUGCUGCACUCGGCUCCCCUGACUAGUGAACUCCGCCGCUGAACGAUGCUCCUCAGCUACACUGCUCCUCCGGCUGAAGAGAAGGUAGAAUGACAAGGUUAUUUAGAUGUUUGACACUAUCUGAGAUGCCCCUUGAUUAGUAAGGUGCGUCCGGAGCCAGAAGAACUUGAGAAAGGCAUCAUACAUUCCUUUUGCAAGACACUUACAAUUUCGGAUACGAGUACCAAUGGACAUGUCUCAGAAUCCGCCAUCUCAAGAACUGGUAGCCAAAGAUCUCCAUGGAACUAAUUUGCAUUUUCGUCACAUAUUUCGUGGUGAUUUUACAAUUUAAGCAUUUAGCUUGAAUACCCUUUAAACUUCCCGUCGUUGUGUUUUUAUUGUUUUGGUAUAGCACUAAAUGUCACAAUUGAAUGUUGAAUUCUUACCACUGCAAAAACCUGCAGAAUAUGCUGAUUCAUUAUUUCUUAAGUAUGUGUGAACUGUAUCCCUGUCUGGUUCUA